rnacentral:rRNA from 1 species
AAUCACUUGUCUUCUAAAUAAAGACCAGUAUGAACGGCUAAAUGAGGACAGGCCUGUCUCCUACAACUAAUCAGUGAAACUGAUCUUCCAGUACAAAAGCUGGAAUACACACAUUAGACGAGAAGACCCUGUGGAGCUUCAAACCAACUAUUAAAAAGCACACGACAGCACCUAAUACGCGGUUUUAAGUUGGGGCGACUUCGGAAAAAAACAAAACUUCCAAGCACAGGACCACAAAUUCUAACAAUGGCCAACAAGCCAAAGUUUAAACUACACCAGACCCAGUACUACUGAUCAACGAACCAAGUUACCCCAGGGAUAACAGCGCUAUCUUCUUCAAGAGUCCAUAUCGACAAGAAGGUUUACGACCUCGAUGUUGGAUCAGGACACCCAAAUGGUGCAGCCGCUAUUAAUGGUUCGUUUGUUCAACGAUUAACAGUCCU